CCUACGGGAGGCAGCAGUGGGGAAUUUUGGACAAUGGGCGCAAGCCUGAUCCAGCCAUGCCGCGUGCAGGAUGAAGGCCUUCGGGUUGUAAACUGCUUUUGUACGGAACGAAAAGACUCUGGUUAAUACCUGGGGUCCAUGACGGUACCGUAAGAAUAAGCACCGGCUAACUACGUGCCAGCAGCCGCGGUAAUACGUAGGGUGCGAGCGUUAAUCGGAAUUACUGGGCGUAAAGCGUGCGCAGGCGGUUAUAUAAGACAGAUGUGAAAUCCCCGGGCUCAACCUGGGAACUGCAUUUGUGACUGUAUAGCUAGAGUACGGCAGAGGGGGAUGGAAUUCCGCGUGUAGCAGUGAAAUGCGUAGAUAUGCGGAGGAACACCGAUGGCGAAGGCAAUCCCCUGGGCCUGUACUGACGCUCAUGCACGAAAGCGUGGGGAGCAAACAGGAUUAGAUACCCUGGUAGUCCACGCCCUAAACGAUGUCAACUGGUUGUUGGGUCUUCACUGACUCAGUAACGAAGCUAACGCGUGAAGUUGACCGCCUGGGGAGUACGGCCGCAAGGUUGAAACUUANAGAGUUAGUAGGCGUGAGACUGCGACGGACGACAC
rnacentral:rRNA from 1 species